GGACGUCAGGACGAACGCUGGCGGCGUGCUUCAUACAUGCAAGUCGAACGAGAAGCAGUCUUCGGACGAGUGGAAAGUGGCGGACGGGUGAGGUAAAAUGUAGAGAAUCUGCCCUAGAGCGGGGGAUAGCAGUUGGAAACGACUAUUAAUACCCCAUAUGAGCGUACUUGAGAUAGUAUUCUUGAAAACUCCGGUGCUCUAGGAUGAGUCUGCAUCUGAUUAGCUAGUAGGCGGUGUAAUGGACCACCCAGGCGACGAUCAGUAGCUGGUUUGAGAGGAUGAUCAGCCACAAUGGGACUGAGACACGGCCCAUACUCCUACGGGAGGCAGCAGUAGGGAAUUUUGCGCAAUGGGGGAAACCCUUGACGCAGCAACGCCGCGUGAAUGAAGAAGCCCUUCGGGGUGUAAAGUUCUGUCAGUGGGGACGAAACUUGACGGUACCCACAGAGGAAGCAUCGGCUAACUCCGUGCCAGCCGCGGC
rnacentral:rRNA from 1 species